rnacentral:rRNA from 1 species
AGUGGGGAAUUUUCCGCAAUGGGCGAAAGCCUGACGGAGCAAGACCGCGUGAGGGACGACGGCCUACUGGUUGUAAACCUCUUUUGAUAGGGAAGAACGAAAUGACGGUACCUAUCGAAUCAGCCUCGGCUAACUCCGUGCCAGCAGCCGCGGUAAUACGGAGGAGGCAAGCGUUAUCCGGAAUUAUUGGGCGUAAAGCGUCCGUAGGUGGCCCAUCUAGUCAGUUGUUAAAGCGUAGAGCUUAACUCUAUAAAGGCAAUUGAAACUGAUGAGCUAGAGUGCGAUAGGGGCAAGGGGAAUUCCCAGUGUAGCGGUGAAAUGCGUAGAUAUUGGGAAGAACAUCGGUGGCGAAAGCGCCUUGCUGGGUCUGCACUGACACUGAGGGACGAAAGCUAGGGGAGCGAA